rnacentral:tRNA from 1 species
GGGGGUGUAGCUCAAAUGGAAGAGCGCCUGCUUUGCAAGCAGAGGGUCGUCGGUUCGAAGCCGACCAUCUCCACCA